GAUUGAACGCUGGCGGCAGGCCUAACACAUGCAAGUCGAGCGGAUGGAGGGAGCUUGCUCCUGGAUUCAGCGGCGGACGGGUGAGUAAUGCCUAGGAAUCUGCCUGGUAGUGGGGGAUAACGUCCGGAAACGGGCGCUAAUACCGCAUACGUCCUGAGGGAGAAAGUGGGGGAUCUUCGGACCUCACGCUAUCAGAUGAGCCUAGGUCGGAUUAGCUAGUUGGUGGGGUAAAGGCCUACCAAGGCGACGAUCCGUAACUGGUCUGAGAGGAUGAUCAGUCACACUGGAACUGAGACACGGUCCAGACUCCUACGGGAGGCAGCAGUGGGGAAUAUUGGACAAUGGGCGAAAGCCUGAUCCAGCCAUGCCGCGUGUGUGAAGAAGGUCUUCGGAUUGUAAAGCACUUUAAGUUGGGAGGAAGGGCAGUAAGUUAAUACCUUGCUGUUUUGACGUUACCAACAGAAUAAGCACCGGCUAACUUCGUG
rnacentral:rRNA from 1 species